CCAGUUCUCCUUGCCAGUGAUGGUAAGCGGAAUACGAUGCCGAAAAAGUUGAAAUCGACGAAUCUCACACCAGAGAGCAUUGUACGAAGAUCUUCUCCAUUUAUUUUGGAAGAAAUCAUUGGAACAAAUUGCAUCUGCUGCUGGUACAAGUGUUUUUAACUCAACCAUUUCGGAGAAGACGACCUCUUGUUGCUAGCGUCAGAAGACAACCAGGGUUCGGCUUCUAUCUAAGCUUGAAGAAGAAACUCCAAGUACAACUAAUUGCAGAAGAAACUUCAAGAAGUCUGACUUUUUACAAAAUCAGAGGAAACUCCAAGGACAACUAAUUGCAGAACAUGGUGAACUCUCAUUUCUUAUCUUUGUGCUAUGUGAUCUCAUUGGAUGGAGCAAUGUUGUUAUCUGGUCUCACCGGGGGCAAGUAAUUAUGAAGACAGGAGAUUUGUGUUUUUUGUAUGAAGAUGUGAUAUGAAGGUGGGAUAUCUGUGUUAAUAUGCUAAAGAGAGGAGUUGGAUGGAAGGUCAGAGAACUGUGUUUUUUUUUUUUUCUUUUCUAUUCUUGUAAAUGAUGAUGGGGUGACUGUGUAUAUAAGGAUAUGUAUUUGUGAACUUUUAACAAAUGCUACAGUGAUAAUUGAAUAUGUGUGGUUGAUCAUUUUAAUAAA